GGGUGGUGGCCAGCUCGGUCCCUGGACACUUGCCUGAGCUGGCUGCAGAGGACUGUUCCUGCUUACGGAAGCGGCAAGGGAAUGAUGGGUUCCUUCCCAGGAGCUGGUGUGCAUGCAAGGGCAGGCGAGGAGAAGUGUGUGUUGGAAGGGCUGAGGUCCGGGAGCCGAGCCGCUCUGGGUUUGCAGUCUCCUCUCUCUCCAGCAGCCUGGUGAAGGCAGGUCAGGGAGUACAAUUUUGAGCUCUCUGAGAGGGCCCGGCGGUUGCUGGAACUAUCAGCUGGCCACGGGAGGCCAAGGGGACCAAAGCCCCCGGUCAAGGCUAUGCUGACCAAGGAGGCCUCUCUGACUGCUGCCCUUGCUGCGUCACGCCUGGGGGAUCUGUCUCUGCCAAAACCACACAGAGAGGAAGCUGCUGAGACAAAGAGCCCACCUGGAGUUUGGAAGCUAACCCACCCUGGGAAGGAUAACGUUAAAGAUGAAGAAGAAGAGGGAGGAAAAGGAGAAGAAGGGGCAACAGAGAUGACAUCUGGCCUGUAAAUCCUAAACUAUUUGCUAUUUGGGACCUGGCCCUUUCCAGAGAAGACUGUUGCCCCGAGCUGGUACCCCACAGCAUCGUUCUGAGCUCCCCAACGUUGUGUUACAUUCUGACCAUAUCCACAGUGAGCCCCGGCAUGGUCUCUGACUCUCUUUGAACCAGGCCUCUUCCAAGAGUGCACUUCUCGAUUAAACACUCAGUGAAUCCAUCCUGUGCAUGAAGACAGGGAUGCUAGUGGGGAUUGGAAAAUCCUUGGCUGAACCUUCAGGUCUGAGGAAACCUUGGGCCAGCUGCCCGGCAGGCGGGCCCCUGGCCUGCUUCCUCACUUUCCUGGCUGUGAAGGGAGGAUGAGCAAUUCUGGCCUCAGAAUGGAGAAAAACGAAAGAGGGGAAUCUGAUCAGGGUUCCUGAGAUGCUGGCAGGGGGUUCCGAGACUUCUUCGAAGGAAGAACCAGUGUGAAUCCCAGACAACUCGAGCGUCUUCGCAAGUCUCAGAGCUCCCAGUCUUAAGCUCAGGGAAAUACCCCUUCUCUUGAAGUCACACCAGAUGUGUGAAUGCACGGCCAACAUCUAAUCUAAUGUCUUUUCGUGUCUCAGUUCUCUACCCGGAUGGCGAAUGCCCUGACGCCGGGUCUGGAGCUCCUGUUUCCCUAGAACCUUCUCUGAGCAUCUGGUGGCACCUGGCUUCUCUUCGGAUUUGCUUCCUGUCUGACUCGAAUGUUAAUAAAAGACCCUGAAAGGAAAGAGGCUUCUGGAAGAGUCUCCUAGGGAGGAAGAGCCUUCUCUCUGCCCCCAGAACAAUCUCGGGGCCCCAGCUAGCUGGGAGGGCCGCACCGCCUCAGGUGGGGGUGGGGGGGGUUGGGGGAACCCAGGCCUGACUGCUCAGGGGUUCUCUCCCUUCCUUUUAGAAGUCAAACACUUCCCUGCGCCUGCAUCUUCAGCCUGGGACCCUGUUCAGUGCUCCUGAAAACAGCCCGAGGGGUCAUUCCUUCUGGGCCACUCAAGAGAAUUCUGUCAGCCAACCUGUCUUGCCAUCAUGCCCCUGAGGGAAACCUUGGAUGUGAUCCGGGAGGCAGCCCCAGGGGACAGGGAGGCCCAGAGGGCUGGGGCUGGGGAUGGGGUUGGCUCUGGGUGAGAAGCCCAGCUCUAGGACAUUCUCACCAUCAUACUGCCUUUCAGCCAGUCUCCUGGGGCCACCCCCCACCCCCUUUCAUUUUAUUGAUUGGAGAUAGUGUCCCUGAAUAGAGCUUAAUGUCCUUUGGAAAUUAUCUGUUCUUUCUCUUUCUUUAAAAAAAUGUUUCCUGCUUCUUCCCUUUGGUUUAGGUCACUGUAUCCCCAACUGCUGAAGGUGCAUGGG